rnacentral:lncRNA from 1 species
CAACAAUGUCUGCACAAGAAGCUGAGCUAUAGGCUCCCAUCACAGCAUGCAAGAUCUCUGAAGGAAGACUGAACUCAGAGGAAGCAUGUGGCAACUCUCUGGCUGACUAAGUUGUUCAAGAAGUUGUAAGUGCACUAAGGGAAGUGGACAGAAAAGUGUCUGCUGAAGAAACUCCCAUAUUCACCAUGUAAGAUCCUACCCACAGACAUCAAGCUCCCGAAGGAAUAACAAGCAAGCUACUGACCCUGGAAAGAAAGAAAAAACAAACAAACCACAAGCUGGA